AUUGAACGCUGGCGGCAUGCCUGACACAUGCAAGUCGAACGGCAGCACGGGGGUAACCCUGGUGGCGAGUGGCGAACGGGUGAGUAAUGCAUCGGAACGUGCCCAGUAGUGGGGGAUAACCAGCCGAAAGACUGGCUAAUACCGCAUACGACCUACGGGUGAAAGCGGGGGACCGUAAGGCCUCGCGCUAUUGGAGCGGCCGAUGUCUGAUUAGCUAGAUGGCGGGGUAAAGGCCCACCAAGGCGACGAUCAGUAGCUGGCCUGAGAGGACGACCAGCCACACUGAGAAUGAGACACGGCCAAGACUCCUGCGGGAGGCAGCAGUGGGGAAUUCUGGACGAUGGGCGAAAGCCUGAUCCAGCCAUGCCGCGUGCGGGAAGAAGGCCUUCGGGUUGUAAACAGCUUUUGGCAGGAACGAAACGGCGCGGGCCAAUACCCCGCGCUAAUGACGGUACCUGCAGAAUAAGCACCGGCUAACUACGUGCCAGCCGCCGCGGUAAUAC
rnacentral:rRNA from 1 species